rfam:Stegodyphus mimosarum contig53312, whole genome shotgun sequence.
GCCUUCGUGGUGUAAUUGGAAGCAUACUUGAUUGGCAUUCGAGAGGUCCAGGGUUCGAGUCCCGAUGAGGACA